rnacentral:rRNA from 1 species
GACGUAGGGGACAAGCGUUAUCCGGAAUUACUGGGCGUAAAGCGUGCGUAGACGGUUAUGUAAGUCGGGUGUGAAAGCCCCGGGCUCAACCUGGGAAUUGCAUUCGAGACUGCAUAGCUAGGGUGCGGAAGAGGGAAGCGGAAUUUCCGGUGUAGCGGUGAAAUGCGUAGAUAUCGGAAGGAACACCAGUGGCGAAAGCGGCUUCCUGGUCCAGCACCGACGUUCAGGCACGAAAGCGUGGGGAGCAAACAGG